AUUCAGCAAAUCCUUGCUGAGUACCCAUGGUGUGCCAGGCCCCGUGCCAGAAAUGAGGGAAUGGUAGAUGAAUGAGGUGUGGCCCUGCCCAGGGAAGUCUCUCGGUCUCAUGAACUGUUGGCAGGCUUCCUUUGUGAGAGCAGUGGAGACUGAUGCAGACAGAAGUUUGGAGUUGGGGGAAGGGAGUAACUUGCUCUGGCAGUUCUCCACCCUAAGUUACAUGGCAGGUGUGAUUCUGGGAGCCCUCACACACAUUGCCAAGGCCAGAGGAGGAGAGCACUAGGGAGGCAGGCAGUGCUUUCCUAGAUGUUCCUAAUUCUUCCCCAGCCUGACCCAGGUCACUUAUGGAUGAAAGCAAGUCACCCUGCCCACAAGGUGGAUAUCACGUGGCUGAUGAUUGAGAAUCCGUGAAACUACAAAGGAAGUUCUUUCGUAUGAAUGGCAGGCAGGCAGACCUGGAAAGUAAGCCAGAUACAGGGGCUGGUAUGUGCCAAGUUCAAAGACAUGAAAAGCAUGACAUGAGGGAAGACCUCUGAGGCCUGAAGUCAGAGCUGAGGAGGGAAGAAGGGCUUGACUUUGCUAAGGGCCACAGGACACUGUAGAGCAGAGAUUCCCAAGGAGCGCCCUGGACCAGAGCAUCAGCUAGGGAUGAGUGAGAAAUGCAAAUGCACAAGAUCCACCCAAGAGCUACUGCAUCAGAAACCACGGGUGGCACCCAGUGGUGUAUGUUUCAAGGCUCUCAAAUCCUGAUGCACUCUAAGGUUUGAAAACCACAGAUGUGGAGUAUGAGAAUAAUUUUCACUGGCACUGGGAGGAGAUGAUUAAUAGGAUAAGAGAGUCAAUUACUAGUGAGAAGAGAAGGAGUCAAAGCAGACCAUUCUAUGAACCCUGUAGGGCCCUCUAGACUCUAGUCCAUACUCCCUGAAGCAGUGAUAUUUUUUAAAAAUAUUUUAUUUAUUCGUGAGACAGAGAGAGAGAGGCAGAGACAUAGGCAGAGAGAAAAGCAGGCUCCAUGCAGGGAGCCUAAUGUGGGACCUGAUCCUGGGACUCUAGGAUCAUGCCCUGGGCUGAAGGCAGACAGUCAACUGCUGAGCCACCCAGGCAUCCCUGAAGCAGUGAUUUUAAGGAACCUUGGGCCACGUCCCAACUCCACUCCUCUCCUAGGGCAUGAUCCAUCUCCUGCUGGUCUGGCCCCUUUAAUCCUAGAGAGACACAUAGUCUAGGGGAGGCUGUAGUGAGGCCACCCAUCCCUAAGGAGACUGCCUUCCAGAUUCCCAUAUAUAAGCAGCCUCCUGAAGGGCCAUGUAUUAGAGGAAAUGAUUAAACUGUAGCAGUGUCCUUACAUCACCAGGAGAACUGGUCCCCACAGAGCAUCUAUGCUGUGGAGCCACCAGGGCCUACAGAGAGUGGCGUGGGGUCAUCCAAGGACACUGCCAGCUUUACUGUGGUGCUGCGCCUUCUGUAAUAUGACUGGGUCAUGCAGCGUCACAAUCCAAACACAAAAUUGGAUGGAGAAUGAAUGGCUUUUCUUGGAAGGGCAGUAACUCAUUCGGGAUGUUACUAAAAGUAGAAAACAAAACCUAAAACAAACCUGCAGCAUUCUCUACAGGUGGAAUCUGUGUUGGUCUUCAAAUCUCUAAGACCUGCAAAGGUACCAGUCUCCACCAAUUCCCUUUUCCCCUACCUCCCAGAAGCCAAAGAUCUGCCAAUUAUUGAUUUAGGUUUUUGAUUCAUGGCUUAAACUCUGCAAAGAUCUAGAACCUUUCGGGAGAAACAAGUUGACAUUCUAUCAGUCACACCUACCUGUGGUGCAGAAUCUGUCCUCAUGUAAGGGUUUCUGAGACUAGGAGUCAGAGAACUGGAACACUGGGCCUUGGAGUGGGAGGAGAGAGGAGGAGUGGGAGGGAGGGGAACCCAGACACAUGGCCUUGGAAAGCUGGCACCUGCUGUAUAGUUUCUAAGAACCCAGUUCCCUCUUGAUCAAAGGCACAUUCCUGGUCCUGUCAGCCCUGUCCUAGCUGAGUCCUCCCCCAAAUGCCCUCAAGGAUACCUCCAUGUCUCCAGCCUAGUUUAUGGAAGGGUCUUCUGAUUAAAUGGUCAAUCAAUCCCCUGAGACCACAGUGACCAUAUCAAGAACAACCAUCUCUAACACAUUAGAUUGUGCUAAAAAGAACCAACGGUUUGCCAGUUGUUUGUGAGAAGCAAAGGAGAGAGCAGACCCAAGAGGUGAAAGGAAAGUUUCUUCCUGUUCACAUCACUUAGGUCCAGAAGAAUUUUCUUCUCCAGCCUGGUCUCUGAUGCGACAUCUCUCUCCCAAGACCUUAAGACAAUUUUGUUUCCCUGAAGUUAAGUCACUUAUUACAAAGUCCCCUAUGGGACAAAAAGACAAGGGAUGGGAUGGCAGGACGUGGGUGGAGAGGCCUUAGGUAGUUCUGGGAGCAGGAUGGGCUCUGUUCUCAUUGAGAAGCUUAUAUCUGUAUCCAGUCAGACAGAAGGGUCAGGAGCUCCAAUCUAGCCAGAACACCAGGUGGAAAGAAAGAAUAUGAGGGAUAUUUAUUGGGAAGAAUGGGCACAGAGGAGACCCCCAAGAUAUGUCACUGUGCAAGCCAUACUAGUCAUUUACAUUUGUCAGAAACAGGGGAGGACUGCGUCCCAAUAUCAGCUAGUCCCUCCCAUUUUAAGCCCCAAAGAGGUGCUGCUACGUCUGGACCACUGAGAUGAUCCAUUUCAAGUCAGAGUCCCAUUCCAUGAGGACUGUCAGUUGCACCCACUGGGGACCCUGACCAGGCACCAGAAAACAUGGCUGUGUGAGGCUGUAUGGCCCCUCAGCUCUUGCCGCCUCUGCUGUCACAGGCCCUCAUCAAGGCAAGAAGUGUCACUCACUUAUCACAGCACAUAGCCCAUAGCAUGGGCUUGAUAAAUGGUGAAUUAAACAGAAUACCAGAGAUCACCUAACCUCAGCAAAUGCACAGGAUGUGAAAAAUUAAGAUGCUUCCAUAGAAAAAGACUCCUCCAUCUUUUCUCUUAGUAUAUAGGUCAGAAUCCUUCAUAAAAUCAGAGCAAGGAGAAGUAGGAGUAUAUCUAGGGGCAGGAAAAGAACAAGAAUGGAGUUCUUUGGAGAGUGGCCCCUUGCUAGCUCACUAAAAGGUGCCCCUAAGCCCAGAGCAGCUGGAGGGGCACUGGUAAGCCCACCUGCUCCAUCCUCAGGUCCUGAGUCACGAUGCUGCCCAGGAAGGAGGACGUCCUAAUCUGUUAAUCGCCCUAGUCUUGUGCUACUCUGCAGCUCCUUUCAGCAGAUUUGAUGCAGAGAUCCAUCAAGAUGAAGCUCAACCCCCAACAGCCGAAGGAAAAGAGGGCAAUAGAGGUGAGAAGAGCCAAAAUGCAGGCAGUGUGUAUUAAUCCCAGGUGACAAAAACAUGCCGACUUUAACAUCUGUUUGCUUUUAUCUUGAAAUGAAAAUGCAUCUCAGCUAUCCAGACCUUUUUUUCUGAGCAUUUCAGAACAUAAAUGGGACAUACACACACACACACACACACACACACACACACACACACACUCAUGGUAAGGGUUCUUUUCCCCAGCAGAAAGAGCUACCAAAGAAAAGAGCCCAUAGGUUUUCUCUAUUUGCAGAAUCAGGGAAUCAACUGCAGGUCUCAGCUACUAGAGUCCAGCCUCUUUGAAAAAGGGAGGGGAAGGGCCAGGAGACAGCUGCCUUAGGAAGGGUUCACUGGGGCCUCUGUGAGAAAGGGUUCUGGUUGGGCCUGUGGGUCACAGAUAGGAAUGUAAUGUGCACACCCCUGCAGACAAAAGUCCAUCCAUCCUGCGCAAUGUGGAAUAUACCCCUUAGCUCCUCCCUUGUCUGCAAAGGAGCCAUCAAUGUGCAGGAUUCAGAAGAUGGCAUGCACAUCUUUGCUUGUAAACUUCAAGUGGUGGAAAUAAGGCAAAAGCCUUUUGGAGAUUAGGAAGUUAGACUUGAUAUCCAGGGCUGAUCACUCAAAAGGCAAAAAAAGAGAUUGACGGGAAAGCUGACUCAGAGUUAGAGAGGGAACAGGUGAGGCUAGAGAAGAGUGACGGAACAGGAACACCCUCACCUGGGAAGCCAGAGCAUUGCUCUAUACUGAAAGCUGUAUCCAAGUUUCAGCAAACUAUGGGGAAGCCUGGCCAUGUGACCCUGAGGCAAUCAAAUCAAUGCCUCCAAAGUCAGACCUAUUCGAAGGUGAUUUCAUUCUUAAUUGAACUAGUCACAAUGGAUCAAUCCACCUGAUUGCUUCCAGCCUGACCUCGGUGGCUUCCAAAAAAAAGUUGUUGAUGCCCUGAGCUGGACAGCAGAGAAGGAAAUUGAAGAAAACCAGCCAGUGAAUUUAGAAAAGAAACUGCAUGUAGAAGUUGGUUGUUUUCAAAGAUAUCCAUAGGUAUUAGAGUUAGGUGUGUUAUGUUAUCGGCAUGGACAUUAUAAUGUCAGAAAGGUAAGAUUCAGAAUGACUUGGUGGGACAUUCACUUGGAAAAUUAGUUAAUGUGUUAAAUAUAAGCUAUCAGGGAAAAGUAGGCUAAGGGCAGCAAUUAUGUGCGUCAUAUGCAUAAAAUACAGAAAUAAGUAAGAUAUAAAGAUGUCAAUGGUCCCAACACAUUUUCAGUUCCUUAGAAGCACAGGUUUGGGUGUUACACUUUUUCUUACUGUUCUCAUUUACUUUUAGCUCUCAGAGCACUGGGAACAGUGCCUGGCACAUAGUAGGAGUUUAGUAAGCAUUGGAAAAUGGAAGGUCCAACUUGUCGCUACAUGGGACUCAGUACUCACUAUACACCCAAUUAAGUGAGCCACAGGGAAGCAAGUCAGCCACAUCCCCCUCCUAGAUCAUUACACCUCGGCUGAGGAGAAGCUUGCAUGAAUUCAAAGAUUCAGAACAAUGUCCAGCUGGCUGCAGGCACUGGGUCUGGCUCUUGCCGGGAUGCUGUACAGAGUGGGCCUAUAUCACUUAGGACGCUGCACAUAGUGGGUCUGUAUCACUUAGACCUCAUCUGCAUAACACCUAACAAGCUAUUUCUACAGGGAACAGGACUGAGGGCUCCCCUCCUAUUGCUUCUGCCAUUUCCUAAACACUUGUGCAAUGCUGUGGAGUUGUGCCAACUUCGGGUACAAUUCUAGAACUAAAUAUAAUGAUUCUGGGCUCAGCCAGUCUCAGAGGUCUAAUGAUUCUUCUCUCAGCUCUUCCCAUCACCCAUAUCUGGAGAUGCCACCUCAACAGGUGGGCCCGUGUAUGUAUACCUGAUACAUGUCCACCUCUGAGCUCUUUCAGCUGCCUCAAAAAACUGACUCCUUUUAGUCUAGAAAAUGUGUUUAUUUGCUAAAUAUACUAGUGUGUAUGAUGUGAAACAAUGCAAACUUUGGACUAUCUUGUUAGACUGUAUGCAUUUAUAGAAUUUAAUUUCAGGAGAGCACUUUAUCAUCUUGCUCAAUGAAUGAGGUUGCCCAAUCACAGAUGACCAGAGAAAAUGCCCCUUCUCCUCCCUACACCUAUGAGCCCCUCCCCUGAUCUAGUCCCUGCCUAAUUGAGCUGUCCUGUCCACUUCAGGCUGAUGCAGAGUGAAGGGCGCUGAGAAUCUCCAUGUAUAUAAAGAUAUAGGAAGAAAAUAAGAACCACCACAGGAAUCUGUUGGGCUUCUUCCCAUGACUGUGAUUUUAUCCAUAUUUGAGUCACAAACUUUACAUUUCUAACAAUUAAGAUUCUUGCAGUUUCCAAGUAAUUUGUUAAAUGCCUAUUCGACACAGACAGAUAUUUAUUUUCAGCCUUGACUUGUAAAUGCCUACAAACUGAUUCAUGCUGGUGGUCGUUACGACACUUUCUGUGAAUUGGUGAAUAAAUAUGAUUUUAGAAUUUCACA
rnacentral:lncRNA from 1 species